rnacentral:rRNA from 1 species
GACGAACGCUGGCGGCGUGCCUAACACAUGCAAGUCGAACGGACAGGCCCUGAUCUUGUGGGGUGCUCGAGUGGCGAACGCGUGAGUAACACGUGAGUAACCUGCCCUUGUCUUUGGGAUAACUUCACGAAACUGGGGAUAUUAUCCGAUAGGAUAUCUUGCUGCGUGUGGGUCGAUAGUAAGAGUCGGCGGUUGGGUAAAGACUCGCGGCUUAUCAGCUGGUUGGGGGGGUAGGGGCUUACCAAGGCUUUGACGGGUAGCCGGCCUGAGAGGGUGACCGGCCACAUUGGGACUGAGAUACGGCCCAGACUCCUACGGGAGGCAGCGGUGGGGAAUAUUGCACAAUGGGCGGAAGCCUGAUGCAGCAACGCCGCGUGCGGGAUGACGGCCUUCGGGUUGUAAACCGCUUUCGCCUGUGACGAAGCGUGAGUGACGGUAAUGGGUAAAGAAGCACCGGCUAACUACGUG